CCCUGAUAGGCCUGUGUUUUAUCCACUCACACUGUUAUCCUGCUCCCUGAUAGGCCUGUUAUACUGCUCCCUGAUAGGCCUGUUAUACUGCUCCCUGAUAGGCCUGUGUUUUAUCCACUCACUGUUAUCCUGCUCCCUGAUAGGCCUGUGUUUUAUCCACUCACUGUUAUCCUGCUCCCUGAUAGGCCUGUGUUUUAUCCACUCACUGUUAUACUGCUCCCUGAUAGGCCUGUUAUACUGCUCCCUGAUAGGCCUGUGUUUUAUCCACUCACUGUUAUACUGCUCCCUGAUAGGCCUGUGUUUUAUCCACUCACUGUUAUACUGCUCCCUGAUAGGCCUGUGUUUUAUCCACUCACUGUUAUCCUGCUCCCUGAUAGGCCUGUGUUUUCUGAACACAAUCUGAACCAUUUUAACAGACAGAUUCACACAAUGCCGCGGACCUUGUGACCUUGUGACCAUAAAACCAAGAAGGCGAAGAGUUCUAAUACGAUUGGUUGUAAUGAAAUUAAACGACAAAACAAGUCCAUCUGUUUUUUUUUUUUUUUUUAAAAAGAACAACAAUAAAUAUGUGUCAAAUGUAAAGUCUCCGGGAUAAUAAUAGAGCCCUGUUGAACCAGCCGUCGUUAUAUUAGGCCUACGGAGGGCUUGGGAACAUACGAAACGGAAAACAUCAAUUAUUACAGAGUUACAGGUAACUUAUAAAUACGAGGUUCACCGGGUUUCACGGAGGAUCUCAUCUCUCAUGAUGGGUAUGACACGUGGGCUACAUGAAGGAGGGUGUUUAUUUACCAAAGUCCAAAACGGGACCUGCAUGGCUAAAAUAAAGUGGGCAUAACUACAAGGCAGAGAUACAAAGUGAAUGUCAUCUCACUGUUUUACUCAUCUCAAGCGUUAUAUGUUAAUAACGCUUUGGGGAUUAAUAUGUAUUUCCAAGCGGUUUGACUCCUUCGCUAUUGCAUCGCAUUGAGACUUUAUUGAGAGGAGGGGAAGCUAUGCUUGGUUUUUAACCAAAUAAAACGAAAUGUGGAAUUUUUUUGUGUUGUUUUUUUGUGUUUCUAAAUACGAAGUUUACAGGCACCAAAAGCACAUUAGGCUACUAUUGUUCCAUGUUCAUAUGGUCAGUGGUCGUCACGGCUGGAUAGGCUGUGUUUCCGCUGUCAAAGUUCAUACCAUAACCAACUGCGUAACCUCUAAAACCAGCUUUUGUUUGGUCUUAAAUAUCCCUAUUGACGCUGCCUGAAA
ensembl:lncRNA